GACGAACGCUGUCGGCGUGCUUAACACAUGCAAGUCGAACGGAAAGGCCCUGCUUUUGUGGGGUGCUCGAGUGGCGAACGGGUGAGUAACACGUGAGUAACCUGCCCUUGACUUUGGGAUAACUUCAGGAAACUGGGGCUAAUACCGGAUAGGAGCUCCUGCUGCAUGGUGGGGGUUGGAAAGUUUCGGCGGUUGGGGAUGGACUCGCGGCUUAUCAGCUUGUUGGUGGGGUAGUGGCUUACCAAGGCUUUGACGGGUAGCCGGCCUGAGAGGGUGACCGGCCACAUUGGGACUGAGAUACGGCCCAGACUCCUACGGGAGGCAGCAGUGGGGAAUAUUGCACAAUGGGCGGAAGCCUGAUGCAGCAACGCCGCGUGCGGGAUGACGGCCUUCGGGUUGUAAACCGCUUUCGCCUGUGACGAAGCGUGAGUGACGGUAAUGGGUAAAGAAGCACCGGCUAACUACGUGCCAGCAGCCGCGGUGAUACGUAGGGUGCGAGCGUUGUCCGGAUUUAUUGGGCGUAAAGGGCUCGUAGGUGGUUGAUCGCGUCGGAAGUGUAAUCUUGGGGCUUAACCCUGAGCGUGCCUUCGAUACGGGUUGACUUGAGGAAGGUAGGGGAGAAUGGAAUUCCUGGUGGAGCGGUGGAAUGCGCAGAUAUCAGGAGGAACACCAGUGGCGAAGGCGGUUCUCUGGGCCUUUCCUGACGCUGAGGAGCGAAAGCGUGGGGAGCGAACAGGCUUAGAUACCCUGGUAGUCCACGCUGUAAACGGUGGGUACUAGGUGUGGGGUCCAUUCCACGGGUUCCGUGCCGUAGCUAACGCUUUAAGUACCCCGCCUGGGGAGUACGGCCGCAAGGCUAAAACUCAAAGGAAUUGACGGGGCCCCGCACAAGCGGCGGAGCAUGCGGAUUAAUUCGAUGCAACGCGUAGAACCUUACCUGGGUUUGACAUGGAUCGGGAGUGCUCAGAGAUGGGUGUGCCUCUUUUGGGGUCGGUUCACAGGUGGUGCAUGGCUGUCGUCAGCUCGUGUCGUGAGAUGUUGGGUUAAGUCCCGCAACGAGCGCAACCCUUGUUCACUGUUGCCAGCACGUUAUGGUGGGGACUCAGUGGAGACCGCCGGGGUCAACUCGGAGGAAGGUGGGGAUGACGUCAAGUCAUCAUGCCCCUUAUGUCCAGGGCUUCACGCAUGCUACAAUGGCUGGUACAGAGAGUGGCGAGCCUGUGAGGGUGAGCGAAUCUCGGAAAGCCGGUCUCAGUUCGGAUUGGGGUCUGCAACUCGACCUCAUGAAGUCGGAGUCGCUAGUAGUCGCAGAUCAGCAACGCUGCGGUGAAUACGUUCCCGGG
rnacentral:rRNA from 1 species